rnacentral:rRNA from 1 species
UAGCGUAUAUUAAAGUUGUUGCGGUUAAAAAGCUCGUAGUUGGAUUUCUGCUGAGGACGGUCGGUCCGCUCUCUGAGCGUGUAUCUGACUUGGCCUUGGCAUCCUCUCGGGACGUCUGCGCUUGAUUGCGUGGGCGGUGUUCGAGACUUUUACUUUGAGGAAAUUAGAGUGUUCACGGCAGGCCAACGCCUUGAAUAUGUUAGCAUGGAAUAAUAAUAUAGGAUCUUGGUUCUAUUUUGUUGGUUUCUAGAGCUAGGAUAAUGAUUAAUAGGGACAAUUGGGGGCAUUCGUAUUAAGGCGCU